UUCCCUCACUUAUCUUUUAUAAUAUCUUUAAUUGAGGGCUGGCAAUAGCCUGGCCCUAUUCGCCCUGUGCUGUGGCCUAGUUCUUGCUUGCAGUGACCCAAAUCAGUCUAAAAGGUCUAGCCUUGUUCUUACCCUACGGGUUGGGCCGGGCGGGGCCCUAUAAUUAGAAGAGUGAAAUGAUUUGGGGUUUAAAAUAGUCACAUUUAAGAAUUUUUUAGGGUUGUCUGCAAUCCAAGAAUGCAUUUAAACUACAUAUGUACCUUAAAUUCCUUUUGUACAACAGCCACCUACUAGCCCCUACACAAAGCCUAGAUUUCAAGCUUGGUCUUGGCCUCUGACAAGGUUUAGUGGCCCACGUCCUGGCCAUACAUAGCUUGGUUGGGCCAUGGGCCCAUGGCCACCUCUACUUUAGUUAUUAUCUGUGAGCUAUUGAUCCAGUAAAUGUUCCUACUGACCCUGCCAGUAGGGAGGUGGCUACUGGACUGUGUUGUGCGCCCACCAUGAUGUAUAUGUUUUAUCCACGCCCUCCAUUUAUUUCCCAAAAUGAGACAUAUCUAACUCUCAAGUGGACUACACCACAAGAAAACAAUGGUGAUCAAAUGCCUACUAUUAAAUUUUUUUAAGGGCCCAUUGUAAUGUUUAUUUGCCAUCCAACUUUUUGAUUAGGUCACACAGACCUGAAUGAAGGGAAAAUACAAAUAUCAGCUUCAUUCAAAACUUUUGUGGCCCCUAAGUAGUUUUUAACGGUGGGAGUUCAAUCACCACUGUUUCCUGUGGUGUGGUCCACAUGAGAUUUGGAUCUACUAAUCUGAAAAAAAUAAAAAAAAUAAAAA